UACAUGUGGGGCAAGCGUUGUUCGGAAUUACUGGGCAUAAAGGGUGCGUAGGUGGCUUGUUAAGUCAGGGGUGAAAGUUUUCGGCUCAACCGGAAAAUUGCCUUUGAUACUGGCGAGCUCGAGUGCGUGAGGGGUAACCGGAACGAGCAGUGUAGCGGUGAAAUGCGUAGAUAUGACCCGGAACACCGAUUGCGAAGGCAGCCCGCUAAGCAACUAUUGACGCUGAGGCACGAAAGCGUGGGGAGCGAGCCGG
rnacentral:rRNA from 1 species